rnacentral:tRNA from 1 species
CGGGACGUGGCGCAGCUUGGUAGCGCACUUGCAUGGGGUGCAAGGGGUCGGAGGUUCAAAUCCUCUCGUCCCGACCA